GAAAUUUUGGAUAGAGAAAUGCCUCUGCUCUGUCUCCCCAAUUAUUUCCUAUUACUCCUUUUCCUAGAAUCACUUGUAGGAUCACUUGUAGGAUUGCAACCAAUUGCAGGAUUGGGGAUUUGGUUUAUUCUGUCUUGAAUGUAUUGUUUCAUGAGAAAUUUAGCUCUCUGUCUGGAACUUAGACUGCCUAAGGAACACUUGUGUCUUAUUUUGCUUUUUUCAGAGACAGAUAAAGCUUUUCCCACACAGACCUUCAACAACAGACCUUCACCAAGUAAAGCAGGCAUCCUGAGGAGAAUUCGAUUGUGUUAUGAAACACAUAGCAAACGGAGAAAAACAGGCUUUCCUAGUGAAGAAUUCAGAGUGGCUAAGUUAUGCACGGAAUUGGGAUUUUUCUCCCUAGUAGAAAAAACAAGGAAGGUACAUUUCUGCAGUAGUCUUCCAUAAAUGUUCCAGCUCACAGAUACUGAAUGCAACAGCUCAGCAUUCAUAUAUUCAUAGUGGCUUCAUGGAAAUGGAUGAUGCUUAAUAUAAGAGAGGAUGGUCUUCCUUCAGCUCUUCCUCUUUGAUCAAUAACUUAGAGUCAUUUAAAACACCCCAGUAAGUAUGAGCACAUACUUUUUAACUGAAUAGAUAUGUGACAUGUAAGAUGCUUCUGUGAAACUGUUGAAAUAAGAUUAUAUGUGUAAGCUCUUCUGUUUAUAGCACCAGAUAAGUAGCUGUGAGGAAUGGUUGUUUUAUAUUCUAUAUACAGAAAUACAUAUUCUACAAACAGAAAGAAACAAG
rnacentral:lncRNA from 1 species